AGACAAAACUAUUUUAAUUACUCCGGUGUC
rnacentral:piRNA from 1 species